GACGAACGCUGGCGGCGUGCCUAACACAUGCAAGUCGAACGGGGCUCUUUGGAUCGAGACUUCGGUCAAGUGAAUCUGAGCUUAGUGGCGGACGGGUGAGUAACGCGUGAGCAACCUGCCUUUCAGAGGGGGACAACAGUUGGAAACGACUGCUAAUACCGCAUAACGUGUCGAGGAGGCAUCUCCUUGACACCAAAGAUUUAUCGCUGAAAGAUGGGCUCGCGUCUGAUUAGCUAGUUGGCAGGGUGAUAGCCUACCAAGGCGACGAUCGGUAGCCGACCUGAGAGGGUGAUCGGCCACAUUGGAACUGAGAUACGGUCCAA
rnacentral:rRNA from 1 species